rnacentral:rRNA from 1 species
CCUACGGGAGGCAGCAGUGGGGGAUAUUGCACAAUGGGGGAAACCCUGAUGCAGCGACGCCGCGUGAGUGAAGAAGUAUUUCGGUAUGUAAAGCUCUAUCAGCAGGGAAGAAAAUGACAGUACCUGACCAAGAAGCCCCGGCUAACUACGUGCCAGCAACCGCGGUAAUACGUAGGGGGCAAGCGUUAUCCGGAUUUACUGGGUCUAAAGGGAGCGUAGACGGUUAUGUAAGUCUGGAGUGAAAGCCCGGGGCCCAACCCCGGGACUGCUUUGGAAACUGUGUAACUGGAGUGCAGGAGGGGCAGGCGGAAUUCCUGGUGUAGCGGUGAAAUGCGUAGAUAUCAGGAGGAACACCGGCGGCGAAGGCGGCCUGCUGGACUGAAACUGACGUUGAGGCUCGAAAGCGUGGGGAGCAAACAGGAUUAGAUACCCUUGUAGUC